rnacentral:sRNA from 1 species
GUUUCAAUUCCUCAUAGGCAGGCUAUCGGCGUAGCACUCCAUCCAGACUGCAUGGAUGGAUGGUGCUCG